rnacentral:rRNA from 1 species
CCUACGGGAGGCUGCAGUGAGGAAUAUUGGUCAAUGGACGAGAGUCUGAACCAGCCAAGUAGCGUGAAGGAUGACUGCCCUAUGGGUUGUAAACUUCUUUUAUAUGGGAAUAAAACGUUCCACGUGUGGGAUUUUGUAUGUACCAUAUGAAUAAGGAUCGGCUAACUCCGUGCCAGCAGCCGCGGUACUACGGAGGAUCCGAGCGUUAUCCGGAUUUAUUGGGUUUAAAGGGAGCGUAGGUGGAUUGUUAAGUCAGUUGUGAAAGUUUGCGGCUCAACCGUAAAAUUGCAGUUGAAACUGGCAGUCUUGAGUACAGUAGAGGUGGGCGGAAUUCGUGGUGUAGCGGUGAAAUGCUUAGAUAUCACGAAGAACUCCGAUUGCGAAGGCAGUUCACUGGACUGCAACUGACACUGAGGCUCGAAAGUGUGGGUAUCAAACAGGAUUAGAUACCCCAGUAGUC